CGAAGCGUGCUGUUGGAGUGCACGUCCAAGCAGUGAGAUUGAGUGUUAGGCAAAUCCGGCACUCUUAAGAUUGAGCUGUGAUGGGGAGAGGAACUUGUUCCUCGAGUCGUUGAUUUCACACUGCCGAGAAAAGCCUCUAGCUAGAAUAACGGUGCCCGUACCGCAAACCGACACAGGUAGUCAAGAUGAGAAUUCUAAGGUGAGCGAGCGAACUCUCGUUAAGGAACUCGGCAAAAUGACCCCGUAACUUCGGGAGAAGGGGUGCUCUUUGAGGUUCACGCUUCGAAGAGCCGCAGUGAAUAGGCCCAAGCGACUGUUUAUCAAAAACACAGGUCUCUGCUAAACCGUAAGGUGACGUAUAGGGGCUGACGCCUGCCCGGUGCUGGAAGGUUAAGAGGAGUGGUUAGCGCAAGCGAAGCUACGAAUCGAAGCCCCAGUAAACGGCGGCCGUAACUAUAACGGUCCUAAGGUAGCGAAAUUCCUUGUCGGGUAAGUUCCGACCCGCACGAAAGGCGUAACGAUUUGGGCACUGUCUCAACGAGAGACUCGGUGAAAUCAUAGUACCGGUGAAGAUGCCGGUUACCCGCGACAGGACGGAAAGACCCCGUGGAGCUUUACUGUAGCCUGAUAUUGAAAUUCGGUACAGUUUGUACAGGAUAGGUAGGAGCCUUAGAAGCGUGAGCGCUAGCUUACGUGGAGGCAUUGGUGGGAUACUACCCUAAUUGUAUUGGAUUUCUAACCCGCAGCACUUAUCGUGCUGGGAGACAGUGUCAGGCGGGCAGUUUGACUGGGGCGGUCGCCUCCUAAAGAGUAACGGAGGCGCUCAAAGGUUCCCUCAGAAUGGUUGGAAAUCAUUCAUAGAGUGUAAAGGCAUAAGGGAGCUUGACUGCGAGACCUACAAGUCGAGCAGGGUCGAAAGACGGACUUAGUGAUCCGGUGGUUCCGCAUGGAAGGGCCAUCGCUCAACGGAUAAAAGCUACCCCGGGGAUAACAGGCUUAUCUCCCCCAAGAGUUCACAUCGACGGGGAGGUUUGGCACCUCGAUGUCGGCUCAUCGCAUCCUGGGGCUGUAGUCGGUCCCAAGGGUUGGGCUGUUCGCCCAUUAAAGCGGUACGCGAGCUGGGUUCAGAACGUCGUGAGACAGUUCGGUCCCUAUCCGUCGUGGGCGUAGGAAAUUUGAGAGGAGCUGUCCUUAGUACGAGAGGACCGGGAUGGACAUACCUCUGGUGUACCAGUUGUCGUGCCAACGGCAUAGCUGGGUAGCUAUGUAUGGACGGGAUAAGUGCUGAAAGCAUCUAAGCAUGAAGCCCCCCUCGAGAUGAGAUUUCCCAACUUCGGUUAUAAG
rnacentral:rRNA from 1 species